GCGCGAAAACUUUACAAUGCUGGCAACAGCGAUAAGGGAACCUCGAGUGCCAGGUUACAAAUCUGGCUGUCGAGAUGCCUAAAAAGCAUUUCAUAGCAAGGGCCGGGCAAGACCGGUGCCAGCCGCCGCGGUAACACCGGCGGCUCGAGUGGUAACCGUUAUUAUUGGGUCUAAAGGGUCUGUAGCCAGCCGGAUAAGUCUCUUGAGAAAUCUGGCAGCUUAACUGUCAGGCUUUCAGGAGAUACUGUCUGGCUCGAGGCCGGGAGAGGUGAGAGUUACUUCAGGGGUAGGGGUGAAAUCUUGUAAUCCUUGAAGGACCACCAGUGGCGAAGGCGUCUCACCAGAACGGACCUGACGGCAAGGGACGAAAGCUAGGGGCACGAACC
rnacentral:rRNA from 1 species